CGAAAUGUGCUCAGGCACCACCUCCUCCUCCUCGAGAAUGUCAUGACCAUAUUCAUACUCCUGGUUUCCCUCAUUAAUGUUCUCACGAAUGUCACCAGUAUUACUGGUACCCCCCCUUCUCCUUUUCCUAGCCCGAACAUGCCCUUUUGCUCCUUCGUUCUUAUUCCCCAUUAGACCAUCAUCAUCAUCAUCAUCAUCACUAUCAGAAACCACAUUUCUCCUCUGCCGACGCUGUCUCAUUGGUUGAUCAGUGACUUUCUGUUUCCCUUUGCCUGUUUGAUCAGGCUGUUUCCCUUGGCCUGUUUGAUCAUCAUCAGAAGAAUCAUUAGAAGAAGAAUCUGCAAGCACAUCUAAAUCUGGAGGAUCACCAGUAUUACUGGUACCCCCCCUUCUCCUUUUCCUAGCCCGAACAUGCCCUUUUGCUCCUUCGUUCUUAUUCCCCAUUAGACCAUCAUCAUCAUCAUCAUCACUAUCAGAAACCACAUUUCUCCUCUGCCGACGCUGUCUCAUUGGCUGAUCAGUGACUUUCUGUUUCCCUUUGCCUGUUUGAUCAGGCUGUUUCCCUUGGCCUGUUUGAUCAUCAUCAGAAGAAUCAUUAGAAGAAGAAUCAGCAAGCACAUCU
rnacentral:lncRNA from 1 species